rnacentral:rRNA from 1 species
UACAGAGGGGGCAAGCGUUGUUCGGAAUUACUGGGCGUAAAGGGCGCGUAGGCGGCCUGUUAAGUCGGACGUGAAAUCCCUCGGCUCAACCGGGGAACUGCGUCCGAUACUGGCGGGCCUGAAUUCGGGAGAGGGAUGUGGAAUUCCAGGUGUAGCGGUGAAAUGCGUAGAUAUCUGGAGGAACACCGGUGGCGAAGGCGGCAUCCUGGACCGACAUUGACGCUGAGGCGCGAAAGCCAGGGGAGCAAACGGG